UGGGGAAUAUUGGACAAUGGACCGAGAGUCUGAUCCAGCAAUUCUGUGUGCACGAUGAAGUUUUUCGGAAUGUAAAGUGCUUUCAGUUGGGAAGAAAAAAAUGACGGUACCAACAGAAGAAGUGACGGCUAAAUACGUGCCAGCAGCCGCGGUAAUACGUAUGUCACGAGCGUUAUCCGGAUUUAUUGGGCGUAAAGCGCGUCUAGGUGGUUAUGUAAGUCUGAUGUGAAAAUGCAGGGCCCAACUCUGUAUUGCGUUGGAAACUGUAUAACUAGAGUACUGGAGAGGUAAGCGGAACUACAAGUGUAGAGGUGAAAUUCGUAGAUAUUUGUAGGAAUGCCGAUGGGGAAGCCAGCUUACUGGACAGAUACUGACGCUAAAGCGCGAAAGCGUGGGUAGCAAACAGGAUUAGAUACCCUGGUAGUCCACGCUGUAAACGAUGAUUACUAGGUGUUGGGGGUCGAACCUCAGCGCCCAAGCAAACGCGAUAAGUAAUCCGCCUGGGGAGUACGUACGCAAGUAUG
rnacentral:rRNA from 1 species